UAUUAGAUAUCUUAAAAUAAGAAUUGAUUUUUUAAUUCAAAUUAUAAUAAUUUAAUGUUUAUUUCUAGUAA
rnacentral:tRNA from 1 species